rnacentral:lncRNA from 1 species
AUGACACAUUUUAAAGAAGACUUCAUUUGGAUUCUAAGGACCUGGGAUGCCAAACGUCAGCAAGUGAAAUGUGCCUCCAUGAUACUAAUUCCUGAUCAUCACCAGAGGACCAGUUGCACAAUGCAUGAAAAAACAUCAUUAUGAGUGGCUAUAAUGAUAGUAGAAAGAUCAUCCUACUAGGAAUGAGGAUAUUCUGCCUUUAAAAAAGCAGUGUAAACCUGAGGUAAGUCAUAUACCUUCUCUGAGUUUCAAGGUUUUUUUUAAUUGGUAAUAUUACAUCAGCCCAAUUUAACCAAAAGUGUUAUGAAUAUCAAAUAAUAAGGUAUAGAUGUUGAAGGAUUUGCCAAGCAUGCAAAGCCUACCCAAUUAAAUGGUGAUAUUAUUUGCUGAGAAUUACUAAUUAGAAGGCAGUUAAAUAAAUUAACUAUGAGACUGAGAAAUUGAGAAAUC